UAGUGCUUACAGCUCUUUUUGAAUUUGUCUAGUAGGUCUUCUGGUGUCUACCAGAAGACCCCC
rnacentral:snRNA from 1 species